UACGUAGGGGGCAAGCGUUGUCCGGAUUUAUUGGGCGUAAAGAGCGUGUAGGCGGCUUUGCAAGUCCGUUGUGAAAACUCGAGGCUCAACCUCGAGACGCCGGUGGAAACUGCAAAGCUAGAGUCCGGAAGAGGAGAGUGGAAUUCCUGGUGUAGCGGUGAAAUGCGCAGAUAUCAGGAAGAACACCCGUGGCGAAGGCGGCUCUCUGGAACGGUACUGACGCUGAGGCGCGAAAGCGUGGGUAGCAAACAGG
rnacentral:rRNA from 1 species